rnacentral:rRNA from 1 species
GACGAACGCUGGCGGCGUGCUUAACACAUGCAAGUCGAACGGAAAGGCCCUGCUUUUGUGGGGUGCUCGAGUGGCGAACGGGUGAGUAACACGUGAGUAACCUGCCCUUGACUUUGGGAUAACUUCAGGAAACCGGGGCUAAUACCGGAUAGGAGCUCCUGCUGCAUGGUGGGGGUUGGAAAGUUUCGGCGGUUGGGGAUGGACUCGCGGCUUAUCAGCCUGUUGGUGGGGUAGUGGCUUACCAAGGCUUUGACGGGUAGCCGGCCUGAGAGGGUGACCGGCCACAGUGGGACUGAGAUACGGCCCAGACUCCUACGGGAGGCAGCAGUGGGGAAUAUUGCACAAUGGGCGGAAGCCUGAUGCAGCAACGCCGCGCGCGGGAUGACGGCCUUCGGGUUGUAAACCGCUUUCGCCUGUGACGAAGCGUGAGUGACGGUAAUGGGUAAAGAAGCACCGGCUAACUACGUG